GACAGAUUUGGUCCUAAUCUUAUUAUCAGCUUAUACUUAACUUACACAUGCAAGUCUCCGCAACCCAGUGAGAACACCCUUAAACCUUCAAUAGGAUAAGGAGUUGAUAUCAGGCACAGAUACCUAGCCCACAACAUCUAGCCUCGCCACACCCCCAAGGGUAUUCAGCAGUGAUUAACAUUGAACAUAAGCGUCAGCUUGAUUCAGUUAAAGUACAAUAGUGCCGGCUAACACGGUGCCAGCCGCCGCGGCUACACCGCUGGACACAAGUUGAUAAUUUCCGGCGUUAAGCGUGUUUUAAGUAAAUUUGAACUAGAGUUAAAUAAUCAGUACAGACGUUAAAAUCUUACUUCUUAGAAACCCAAAAACGAAAGUUACUCUAACUAAACACUUGAAUCCACGACAGCUGAGACACAAACUGGGAUUUGAUACCCCACUAUGCCCAGCCGUAAAACAUUAACUUACACUAUAAAUCGCCCGAGAACUACGAGCACACGCUUAAAACUCAAAGGACUUGACGGUGUCCCACCCAACUAGAGGAGCCUGUUCUAUAAUCGAUAAUCCCCGAUAAACCUCACCACUUCUAGCCCAUCAGUCUGUAUACCUCCGUCGAAAGCUUACCCUGUGAACGAUCAUUAGUAAGCAGUAAGGUCUAUCCACCAAAACGUCAGGUCAAGGUGCAGCUUACGAAGUGGGAAGAAAUGGGCUACAAUUUCUAAACUAGAACAAACGAAAAGAUCUGCAUGAAACACAGUCAUGAAGGCGGAUUUAGUAGUAAAAAGAAAAUAGAGUGUUCUUUUUAACCGAGCACUGGGACGUGUACACACCGCCCGUCAUCCUCUUCAAUAACAAUACAACAUGUCUAUAACACGCUAACGAACAUAAGAAGAGGCAAGUCGUAACAUGGUAAGUAUACUGGAAAGUGUACUUGGAAUAA
rnacentral:ncRNA from 1 species